UCUACAAACAGGAACGCGAUGCGUGCUCACAUCCCGCAUGCAAGCACCGAUUUAUCCGAGGAACAUGUUGCUAGAGAAGGCCGGUCUUCUCCCUACGUUGAAAAGAGUUUCGCGCGGGUUGUCUCACAAAGCCCCUCCUAGCACCAGGAUAACACGUUAGUGGAGUUGGUAUGCUUCGAUGGUUGUGCUGUUCCGUCAUACCUUGACUUUCGCCCGUGAGGAAUUUUUUCAACAGGAACGCAUGCGACCGAUAGAUGCGCUAGUGUGCACGCACACCACCUUGGCUGCGUGCGUGUGCACGUAGGCCACGUGACGUGCUGACAUAAUACACAAGCUUGAAGGUAGAGGAUCCCCCACUUCUGAACCGCGCGUUAAUUUUAGGGGAAAGCGUAAUAAGGUUUGAUCCAUCCACGAAUGUAGCGACACGGGGACCGUCAUUGUGUUGCACUACGGACGCGGAGACACGAUAACGAUACGAUAAACAAUUUACGAGACAUCUCACCUACAUAUACGUACUGGAGACACGUUAUUAAUUCCGAUUUUGGGGAAAAACGGUGUCACUGUCCCGUAAUGAUGCUUCGAUCCGAGCGGACGAGGUUAGAAGCAUCGUAACAAUGGAUUAUCGAGGGCGGAGGUGAAGCGGGAAGAUGUCUGCCGCCAUCGGGGACGGGCUAAACACGUAGCCCUGCCGAAAUUUCAGCCCAUGCCGGAGUCAAUGAACCGAUAAGCAAUGGAAAGAGGUCGUUCGGGGCCAAUAAAGUAUUGUACGUCACAGAGGUGCUUAAGGCCCGCGCGGCUCUUCCUCAAAAUUGUGUCUUUCCGAUCCGCGGCCACCACGUCCAUCGAAGAGAUUACUGGAGGCUGCGCGUAAAUUAGCAUACUCCUCGUUCGUCGUACGAAAGGCGAAAGAUAAACGAUGAUGACGAACGGCGCACCAAGGUCCACGGCGAUCCUGGAUACGCAUGGACAACGUCUAUGUUACGUAUGUGUGUAGCGGUAAAUUCGAUGAUUAUAAUUCAAUGAAUAAUUCUAUCGCACACCGAGCCACGUUAAAUUAAUACAGCUCGAUGUAUUUUAAACAGUACUCGGGAUUUUUACGUUACAAAAUUGCGUUCAAAUCGUACCUGAUAUCGAUCACGUAUAUAUGUAUGUAUUUCGAUUCCUGGGAAAAAGAUGGUGGAUGUCAUCGACAUCAUGAUGUGAUAUUUUUGAUAAAAAAAAUUCCGUGGAAAACUCCGUGGAAUCUUGACAAUAUAAUGAUACGUGUAUCUCAGAAUUUUCCGUAUCUUAGUCGAAGCAUGAUUUAAUAAUAUAUGUAACGUGUACGCGGAGAUGUUUGAAGUUUGAAGGUUUAAUGAUUAGCAAUCAGAAUCAUUUAGGCUCAAUCAGUUGGUGCAUUGUAGCAGGGAAGCAUAACGAUGUUGAAAGUUCGGUUCAGUUCAGAUAGAUAAGUCCAAUCGAAAUGUAUGUAGUCGUACGGAUACGUAAUCUUGUUUCGCGAUGCUAAUACGCAACAGUGAUUAUCUUGUAAAACUUAUAUUGUGUUACCUAUUCUUAUAAAUUGCACGCAUUGCAAGAUAUGCGGUAAUCAUUCUGUUGUGAACUUAUGGAAUCAACUCCGUCGGUAAUAUAACUAAAAUUUUAAAACAAAUUGUGCUACCAUCUACGGCAAAAUCGUCAAAUUUCAAGCCGAUUAGUUCCGGUUCUUGUUGCUAGAUGGAGCAGCAAGUGCCAUCAUAUUUAACCACGAAUCAUAUAAAUCUCUCAAUUCAAGAACCUUUCCAUUCUACUAUACAUUCAGUACCCCGCAACUGCUUUGGAAAGAGGACGAGACAUGACUGAGUGAGACAAAUCAGCGGGCUCCAAAUUUCGAUGAUUGUGCUUGAACAUGGCGACCAACGACCUAACUUCACCCUCGCUGCGCACUUCUUAUUACAGGGUCUCUACUAUGAUGCUGAUGUAUUCUUACCGUUUAUUGUCUUAAUAAUAGAAUUAAUAAAUGUAUUUAAUAAAUGACAAGUAUAAUUUAAA